GUGAGUUUUUAGCAUCCUCCUUCAGCAACGUUAUGACAGACAUGGUAAUAUGCUGAGGCACAGGACAGAGGACGAAAUGCAGGAUACGGGUAAACACACAGAAUCCACUGAAACCCCUGUGAAGUUCCACGGGACAAAUCUGAUCAGACGUAAGAGCUGCUGCCCUGAUGUCUGUUUGCUCGCAGGAUGAAAAGAAGGAGAAAAGGAAAAAGGAGGAAUGAUGAAGGUGGAGACCAGCCACCAUGUUAUGGGUUUGAGUGAAAGGCAAUGGACCCCCACUGUGGA